UUUGGAGGAGACCCUUUUGGUUAUUCGUCAAUUCGUUUCACCGGCCAACUAAUCUGUUCUCUUCCUCCAUUUUCCCUCUCACGAACGCCGGUACUUCCCUCAUCAGGUGACUCUGCUCCCUCCACUUUAAACAUUCAUUGCUAAGACAUGUGCAAGACUGUUCCUCUCCCUUGUUGUGUAUAUAAGCAAAUAGGUAUGGAAAACUUCUCUCAACAAUUUUAUAUCUUCCACGUACGUGCUUAUAACAAAAUCAUCCACCUUACUUAUUAAAUUUUUUUUGAUUAUUGUGAGAGUGUCUCCUUAGAUUUCGAUAUCUCGGAAUCCCAGAUCUAACCAAAUUUGAAUCACUUAGAGAAAUGUGAGUGCCUCCACAGCAAACAUUGAUGGAACCUGCUUGUUUAUAGUUACUCGUGACCCCACUAUAGACCCAUCGGGCCUUCGCACUAGUAACCUGUACAAAAAUCCUUUGCAUGCCAUUUAAAAGUUGCAUCAAAGUUGAUAAGGAUUAAGGUGGAUGAUUGCGGAAGACUGGAUCAUAAGAUUUUCCAAGUCGCUGAUUUGACUUAGGG
rnacentral:lncRNA from 1 species